rnacentral:lncRNA from 1 species
GGAGUUCAUUAUGGCACCGUACAACCACCAAUUAAUAGAGAACAUGGGGGAAGGGAAAGGAGAUGAUGCAGCCGGCGCUAUGUCGAACCAUCGACGCGGCAGACGCAGCAUACAAAUGCCCUGUAGGUGGCCGGACCUGGGGAUCUCCAUCAAGGUCGACAACGAGUUGUAGUACUGUGUCCAGCCAACAACUCCUUUUGCUUCUCAGGUUCAAUCCGCACUUCCCUUUGUCAGUCUGAAUGCGCCCUUGUUGAUUGCUAUCUGGCAUUGGCAAUGUAUUCCAACUGUUUGAUGGUUUGAGCUUGCCAUAACUUCAAUUCUAUAAAAGAGUUACCCUCAGGAAUUUGUUUAUUAGCCACCAAUACCGCAAAAACUACAGAAGAAUGUUAUUACUGCUAAUGGAUAGAUGCACUGCAGAAAUAUGAAUAGUUUUGGUCAAAAGAAUGCAGACUGCACUUUCUUAUUAGUCUAUCACCCUCACGGUUGCUAAUGAUAUUUGUUUUGCCACCACUUUUUGUGUAACUAGGGGAGGACACUGGUCGUUUGGUUAAAAAAAGGAGUGUGGGAACUCGUCAUCCUUUCUCAAACAUUCUCACUCAGUCAAGUGCCAAGGU